UUAAUGAACUAAAGCAGAUAGUUAUAUGAGUGAAAGAAAACAGCUUAGAUAAAUAAAAAUUAACAGGCAAAAUAUUGAGUCUCAUUUUCUAUGUAUAAGAGUUAAGCAGAAAUAAACAUAGGCGCAAGAGAGCCUUUAUCUCAAGAUUGGUUGACCAGUUAUCCGGUCUUGAAGCGGACUCAAAAGAUUAAUGGGAUCGAGUUUUCACUAUUAUUUGGAUGUACUAACAUAUAUGUAUU